rnacentral:rRNA from 2 species
UAAUACGAGGGGUGCUAGCGUUGUCCGGAAUCACUGGGCGUAAAGGGUCCGUAGGCGUUUUGCUAAGUUGAUUGUUAAAUCCAUCGGCUCAACCGAUGACCUGCAAUCAAAACUGGUAGAAUAGAGUUCGAGAGAGGAAAGUAGAAUUCCUGGUGUAGCGGUGACAUGCGUAGAUAUCAGGAGGAACACCAAUGGCGAAGGCAGCUUUCUGGCUCGAUACUGACGCUGAGGGACGAAAGCGUGGGGAGCGAACAGGAUUAGAUACCCUGGUAGUCCACGCCGUAAACGAUGAGUACUUGAUGUCGGGGGAUUCGACCCCUUCGGUGUCGUAGCUAACGCGAUAAGUACUCCGCCUGGGGACUACGACCGCAAGGUUG